CCUACGGGAGGCAGCAGUGGGGGAUAUUGGACACUGGGGGAAACCCUGAUCCAGCGAUGCCGCGUGCGUGAAGAAGUAUUUCUGUAUGGUAAGCUCUAUCAGCAGGGAAGAAAGAAAUGACGGUACCUGAGUACGAAGCCUCGGCUAACUACGUGCCAGCAGCCGCGGUAAUACGUAGGGGGCAAGCGUUAUCCGGAUUUACUGGGUGUAAAGGGAGCGUAGGCGGUAAUGCAAGUCUGGGGUGAAAGGCGGGGGCCCAACCCCCGGACUGCUCUUGACACUGUGUAACUGGAGUGCAGGAGAGGCAGGCGGAAUGUCUAGUGUAGCGGUGAAAUGCGUAGAGAUUAGGAAGAACACCAGUGGCGAAGGCAGCCUGC
rnacentral:rRNA from 1 species